ensembl:lncRNA LINC01435 long intergenic non-protein coding RNA 1435
GGCUUGGGCUUAAGUCUUAUGCCCAUGUCUGGAACUGGAGUGGGAUCGGCCACAUUGAAAGAACACAGCCUGAGGGCAGGGAAGCUAUUGAGCCCCAGAGAGAAGUUAAAGUACUUUUCAUGAAAGGAUUGGUUACUUGCACUACAGCAAAUUUACAACCAGCAAAAUAGACUAGAAACAAGCUACUUGUUGAUGAAGGAUCUGGACCAAGAUAGGAUUAGUGAAUAUCUCAAGAACAAUCAAGAAUGUAAGAAAAUAUCAUUGUCUGUUAAGACCCCAUCGCAGAGAAGUUAAAGAGCUUCAAUCACCAUGCUUUCAGGGUCAAUUUGUCUCCGAAAAGGAACAGAUGGGGAAGAAUUAUUCCAUUCACAGUUGACUUGUCAGAAAUUCCAAGAUCUUGGACUGGCUGAAAGCAAUGAUGUUGCCAUUCAUCCUUUCACGUAUUCAUUAUGGUCUACAGCUGAGAAGGGCUAUUUGGGGUUUGCUUUGCCUGAUGGUAGCAGAAGAAAACCAAGAGGCCUCUCUACGAAAGCUUGCAGUAAGGAGAAAGUUCUGGAGACUGGGAAGAGCAACACAAAGAUAUUCAGUUGCUUGGUGAGAGCUGCUCUCUGCUUCCAAGGCGGCACCUUGUUGCUGCAUUCUCCAAUGGGAAGGAACGCUGGGUCCUCACAUGACAGAAGGUGGAAAGGGUUCUUUUCCUACUGGGGCUCUUAGAGGAUGCUGAGUAAAACUGGAAUCGAGCAGGAGUUUUAACAGCAAGGGGAAAAUGUUCCAGCCACUCUAGUUGGGAUACAUUGUAUUCCUCCUCAAGUCUACCAAAGAAAGUAAGUGCUUGCUUCCAUGUUAUCCGAAUAUCCAUAAAUAAAUUCUGCAAUAAAUUCAGAAUUAAA